rnacentral:rRNA from 1 species
GACGAACGCUGGCGGCGUGCUUAACACAUGCAAGUCGAACGGAAAGGCCCCUUUGGGGGUACUCGAGUGGCGAACGGGUGAGUAACACGUAAGUAACCUGCCCUUGACUUCGGGAUAACUUCAGGAAACUGGGGCUAAUACCGGAUAGGAAUCCUUGCUGCAUGGUGGGGGUUGGAAAGCUUCGGCGGUUUUGGAUGGACUCGCGGCUUAUCAGCUUGUUGGUGGGGUAGUGGCUUACCAAGGCUUUGACGGGUAGCCGGCCUGAGAGGGCGACCGGCCACAUUGGGACUGAGAGACGGCCCAGACUCCCACGGGAGGCAGCAGGGGGGAAUAUUGCACAAUGGGCGGAAGCCUGAUGCAGCAACGCCGCGGGCGGGAUGACGGCCUUCGGGUUGUAAACCGCUUUCAGCAGGGGCGAAGCUUGUGGUGACGGUACCUGCAGAAGAAGCACCGGCUAACUACGUG